UACGGAGGGUGCGAGCGUUGUCCGGAAUCACUGGGCGUAAAGGGCGCGUAGGCGGCCUGAUAAGUAGGGGUGAAAUCCUGCGGCUUAACCGCAGGGCUGCCUUCUAAACUGUCAGGCUGGAGCACAGUAGAGGCAGGUGGAAUUCCCGGUGUAGCGGUGGAAUGCGUAGAGAUGUGGAGGAACACCGAUGGCGAAGGCAGCUCGCUGGGACGGUACUGACGCUGAGACGCGAAAGCGUGGGGAGCAAACAGG
rnacentral:rRNA from 1 species